rnacentral:sRNA from 1 species
ACCUGGCACUUGGAACUGAUGCAGAAGGACAGAAGGUGAAAGAUUCCAUGCGAGUACUCCUUCCAGUUCUACUCAACAAAAAUCAUGAUAAUUGUGAUAAAAUAAGAGCAAUUCUACUUUAUAUCUUCAGUAUUAAUGGUAAUGGAGAUAAUCACUUUUUAAUAAGUAUUUUACUAUUGAUCAUAAAAGAAUCUUUGAAAACUGAAAGAUAGUUGCUGAACUUGGUUAAGAUAAAAGGGAAAAUAUGAAAUUGAGAGAAGACUGAAGGAGAUAUAAUUUGACUGUUUUUUAUUUUAAAAGCUUCAUUCAUGGGUACUACCUAAAGCCUUGAAAUUAUUUUGGUAGCAAUUAUGUGAUUGUGCACUCAUAUUUUUACCUAUUUAAGGAACUACGGAAGAAAAUUUGGACAGGUUGAUCCAGAAUGUAAAGAUAGAAAAUGAGAGUGAUAUGAUUCGUAACUGGAGUUACCUUGGUGUUCCCAUUGUUCCCCAAUCUCAACAAGGCAAACCGUUAAGAAAGGAUCGGUCUGCAGAAGAAACUUUUCAGCUCUCUCGAUGGACACCUUUUAUCAAAGAUAUUAUGGAGGAUGCUAUUGAUAAUAGAUUAGAUUCAAAAGAAUGGCCAUAUUGUUCCCAGUGUCCAGCAGUAUGGAAUGGUUCAGGAGCUGUAAGUGCUCGCCAGAAACCCAGAGCUAAUUAUUUAGAAGACCGAAAAAAUGGGUCAAAGCUGAUUGUUUUUGUAAUUGGAGGGAU